rnacentral:rRNA from 1 species
AGAGUUUGAUCCUGGCUCAGGAUGAACGCUGGCGGCGUGCUUAACACAUGCAAGUCGAGCGAAGCAGUUAAGUUGAUUUCUUCGGAUUGAUUCUUAACUGACUGAGCGGCGGACGGGUGAGUAACGCGUGGGUGACCUGCCCCAUACCGGGGGAUAACAGCUGGAAACGGCUGCUAAUACCGCAUAAGCGCACAGAGCUGCAUGGCUCGGUGUGAAAAACUCCGGUGGUAUGGGAUGGGCCCGCGUCUGAUUAGGCAGUUGGCGGGGUAACGGCCCACCAAACCGACGAUCAGUAGCCGGCCUGAGAGGGCGACCGGCCACAUUGGGACUGAGACACGGCCCAAACUCCUACGGGAGGCAGCAGUGGGGAAUAUUGCACAAUGGGGGAAACCCUGAUGCAGCGACGCCGCGUGAGCGAAGAAGUAUUUCGGUAUGUAAAGCUCUAUCAGCAGGGAAGAUAAUGACGGUACCUGACUAAGAAGCCCCGGCUAACUACGUGCCAGCAGCCGCGGUAAUACGUAGGGGGCAAGCGUUAUCCGGAUUUACUGGGUGUAAAGGGAGCGUAGACGGCAAGGCAAGUCUGAUGUGAAAACCCAGGGCUUAACCCUGGGACUGCAUUGGAAACUGUCUGGCUCGAGUGCCGGAGAGGUAAGCGGAAUUCCUAGUGUAGCGGUGAAAUGCGUAGAUAUUAGGAAGAACACCAGUGGCGAAGGCGGCUUACUGGACGGUAACUGACGUUGAGGCUCGAAAGCGUGGGGAGCAAACAGGAUUAGAUACCCUGGUAGUCCACGCCGUAAACGAUGAA